UACGUAGGGUGCGAGCGUUGUCCGGAAUUAUUGGGCGUAAAGGGCUCGUAGGCGGUUUGUCGCGUCGGGAGUGAAAACCAUGGGCUUAACUCAUGGCUUGCUUCCGAUACGGGCAGACUAGAGGUAUGCAGGGGAGAACGGAAUUCCUGGUGUAGCGGUGAAAUGCGUAGAUAUCUGGAGGAACACCGGUGGCGAAGGCGGCAUUCUGGACCGAUAUUGACGCUGAGGAGCGAAAGCCAGGGGAGCAAACAGG
rnacentral:rRNA from 1 species